UACGGGGGGAGCAAACGUUGUUUGGAAUUACUGGGCGUAAAGGGCGCGUAGGCGGUUUGCUAAGUUGGGUGUGAAAACUCUGGGCUUAACCCAGAGCCUGCAUCCAAAACUGGCAAGCUGGAGUAUUGGAGGGGGAAGCGGAAUUCCUGGUGUAGCAGUGAAAUGCGUAGAUAUCAGGAGGAACACCGGUGGCGAAGGCGGCUUCCUGGACAAUAACUGACGCUGAGGCGCGAAAGCUAGGGGAGCAAACAGG
rnacentral:rRNA from 1 species